CGACGUUCACUCCGCGGCCCACAGAUCGUGAGUCCGGAGCGCAGUUCGUUUCAGGCCAUGGAACGGGGGCUUGAG
rfam:Synechococcus sp. RS9916 scf_1100013018508 genomic scaffold, whole genome shotgun sequence.